CAGGUUUCGUUAGCAACGGGCUGUGAUGAUUAAAAGAACAAGUUCGUUGUCGACGAAACCUGCA
rnacentral:pre_miRNA from 1 species